rfam:Dipodomys ordii contig_58901, whole genome shotgun sequence.
GGUGGCUCAGUAGUAGAGCACUUGCCUUGUGUGCCAGAGGCCCUGGGUUCGAUUCCUCAGCACCA